CCUAAGAGAUACGUGUUAUGUGAAGUGCUCACACAGAUUGUCUGAUGAAGAACGAGCAGAGAUACCGGUAUAGGCUUGUAGCUCAGGUGGUUAGAGCGCACCCCUGAUAAGGGUGAGGUCGGUGGUUCAAGUCCACUCAGGCCUACCACUUUUCCUUUAUGCUGUGUUGUGAAGCAACUCGUUUACAUUAAGUAAACUUCGUUACUCCACGCCUUGCCUAAAGAAAAAGCUUCUUAUUAUAAUUAUAAGAAGAAAAAGGAGUGGUUAUACGGGUAUUAAAACAUUAUGGGGCUAUAGCUCAGCUGGGAGAGCGCCUGCCUUGCACGCAGGAGGUCAGCGGUUCGAUCCCGCUUAGCUCCACCAUAAUCUCUUGAAUAUAAAACAAUGAUUCAGAGUAUAUUAGGAAUAGUAUACUGUGAAUUAUUAUGCUCUUUAACAAUCUGGAACAAGCUGAAAAAUUGAAAACAAAUCAAUAUAUCACCGAGGUAUAUUGAUGAGUCUCUCAAAAUCUCAAAUUUUGAAUGUGUUUUGACAUCAAAAGUGGGAUGAGCGAGCAAUUUACAGUUCGAGGCGGACAGCGCACAGCAAGCGCAGCAUACUUAAGUAUGUGAGCAUUGCGAGCACUGCCCAACGAAGAAAAUGUAAAUCUGCGCAGCCAUCACCACCCAGAUAGUCUUUGAAAGAGACACUUUCGGGUUGUGA
rnacentral:misc_RNA from 1 species